GGCAAAAGCCAAGCCAGGCAGAGGCAAAGCUCUGGCUGAAGAGCCCCACGCUACUUUAAGCGCUGUAAGGGGAGCGAUGCUAAGGAUGUAUCAAACCCAAGCCUGAGGUAUUGGCCUGGGUUUUGCAUCACCAGCACCAGCUGGAGAACAGGAAACUGAAAAGCCCAGCUGAACCUCAGCUGAAGUGCAGCACCAGGCCUCCACUAACACCAUUACUCAGCUGCCUGCAGCACCUCACCCAGGGGCGCCCUCCACGCAAAGCCAGCGCCGUUCUCCCCACGCCUUGGUUUUCUUCAAAACCUAAGACCUGGCUACAGAAGGCCAAUAAAUGUACACCUCCGUCCCCUCUCCUGGAGCAGCACACGGGCACCCUCUCCCUGUGCAGGUGACUUCUCAGAGCCGGGGCUCAUAACGGAUGCACACCAGAGAGGAGAGCUGUCAGACCCUGCCAGCCCUCAAGGACCUCCAUGGAAGGCUGCAGGGAGUAUCCUGCAGCAGCUGUUGUGCCAGGGCAGCUGGAGGCCACUGGACAGGAGAGCUGGAGAGGACCCAAGCAGGGCAGGAACGCUGCGGGCUCUGAGAGGCCGGAGCUGUUCUGUGCUGCAACACCAUCAAUUUGCAGAUGGUGUUACAGGAUCCUUCUGUCCCUGCACACACCACUCGAGGCUAGGCCAUCUACGCCUCCUCAUUUCCACUUACCCUGCCCAGAACCCUUAUGUCUGUCAGUCUAUUCCAAUAAGAAAGAUUUAAUGGUCCAAAAUCACAAGAGAGGCGGCAGUUUAGCCAUUCAGAUGGCAGUAAGCCACUUGUAUCAUAAAGGACAAGGAAGCACUAGAACAGAUUACAGGAUCUCUAUGAUGAGAGCCUUUGAUAACAAACACUUAUCAAGAUUCUCAGAUGAAUAUGAUUCUGCUUUGAGAGGAAUACAGAACAGAUAAUUUCAGAUAAUUUCUUGGUGCCCCUUCUGAUCAUCCUACAAUGUUAACCUGCUACUGAUAUCCCAUAGAACAAGAACAGAGCAGUAAACUUUACUUUUUUCAUACUA